UCAUGCUACAGAGCAUAGCUCUCUAAAACUCCUUAUGCAAUUUAGAAUUUAGUGCAGCAAUCUUCCCGACUCUUAAACUUCAAAACCGCAUAGUUAUAUGUAGUAGCCAUCAUGUAGAUCAGCUGGUGGAAGAGAACAAAACAGGACAGUAAGAUACAGGCAGUGAGGGCCAAUGCCAUGACACUUCUAAACUUGGGUGGGGAUGGGUGCCUGCUCAUAGUCUAAGGUGUUUCUUUUUUUUCCCCACUUAAAAUCACAAGAGACAAUUUUCCUAUCUAGCACACACAAACUUUUUCUCAUCACAUAUGUACAAUGUAAGUCAUUGGUUCUUCCCUAAGUUUAUUAAAAGUACUUGGAUGUGUUUGAAGAAUAACAAGACAGAGAGCUGGGUCAACAGCAUGAGAAGGAUGAAGCUAAAUGCCUUAAUCCCCUCAUCUUUCCAAAACCAUCUGCUCAGCAGCAGGCAGUUAUCUUUCCUACCUGUUGCUCAACCAAAAGAACAGGUCACCCCCAUGAUUUUACAGGUGGUUUUUUUUCAUAGACUCUAAGGGGAAGGAAUGAUUUAAUGGUCAGAAAAACUGGGAAUGACUAAUUUACAAGCAGCUGAGAUUUUCCCCUUGCUCUACCAGUCUUAGUUGGUUUUCCUCAAAUCACAAACCAAGCCCUCCAAAAUUACAUGUGUACAAACAUAUACAUACAUAAGAGCGUGUGUUUAUACAGUUGGUUUUCACUACUUGUAGAUUCCAUAUUUGUGACUGCCUACUUGCUAAGAUUCAUUUGUAACCCUUAAUACUUGAGGCACUUCUUUUGCAGUUAUUAGCAGACAUGUGCAGAGCGGUGAAAGUUGAGUUGCCCAGUAUGCACGUUCCUAACUGAGGUUGAACAAGGCAACACGCUGCCUUCUUGUUUCAGCUCUCAGACUGUAAAUAAGUAUACUCGAAAUAUAUUUAGUGCCACAUUUUUAACAUUUUUUUGUGGGUGAUUUUGCUGCUUAAAAUGGCUCCCAAGCAUAGUGCUGUCUAGAGUCCCUAAGCGCAAGAAGAUUGCAAACUGCCUGACCAGAGAAAAUGUUCAUUAGAGAAGCUUCAUUCAGGAAUAAGGAUAGUGCUAUUGGCCAUGAAUUCAAUAUUAAUCAACAAUAUAUAUUAAGGUGUAUUUACACAGACACACACAAAACAAGCUUAUGUGUUGAUAGGUUGAUGAAAAUGAUGUGACCAGAGGCUCACAGAAACCUAGCCAUGUAUUUCCCCUAGGAGCAGUGGUCCAGCAUUUGCUAAUUCAGUGCUUGAGGUGACUUUAUGGAACAUAGCUACUGUGUAUGACAGUAACUAUAUAAAUGUAUAUAUAUGUGCAUAUUUCCACUUGUAAAUUAAUCCUUGGCAAAGAGAAAUGGGUAAUGCCUCAUGUGAGCAUUUCAUUUGUGUGUGACUGAAGUCAUGAAGCUAAGUGCUCAGUGCAACAAGGUAAUAUGCUUGGUCUAGCUGAUAGGUGUUGAUACCCUCUUUUCUUUCCAGAGUCCAAAUUACAUCACCUACAAUUGGUGCCAAGGCAGCCAACUAAUACUUCCUGCAAACUACAUGUGGCCCAAUACUGAUCUGUGGAACACAUUGUGGGGACCCUCACCCCGGCAUUGGCAGCAAGAAGGAAGAGCCAACAAGGGAGCAGGGUAAGUAAGAGCCAGCCACAUUCCCCAGAGCUAGAAGAUCUAGAAUUGGAGUGCCUGAAGCAAUGUCAGGGCCUUUCGGGUCACCCUUAACUAACAAGGACAGGAGACCCCAAGAGGUGAUCUCACUCAUCCGAGGAUACAGAGCUAAUCAAUGGCAGCCUCUCAAGAGGUACUCUUUCUAAAUAUCCGUUCUGAAAAUGCAGAACAUCCUACAUAACAUGGGAUAGAUUCUGGAUGCAUUCCAUAUACCACUGAAUUAUAACUUCAUAUUAGUUUCUCAAAUGUUACCUUUAUUUAUCAUAACAGGUUGGCUCACAGAGAAUAGCAAUUGCCACAAGAAGCCCUCUCUCAAAAAGAACUUCGCUAGUUUCCUGAUUCUGCAAAAUUACCAAAAGUUUCAAAUAAUCGCGAACGCAAGCUUAAUGCACGAUCUAUAAAAUUCUCAUUUUCCUCUA